rnacentral:rRNA from 1 species
UGCCAGCAGCAUACCACCCUGCAUCCCACUGCUGGCUUGCUUCUGAAGCUAAGCAGGGUUGGUCCCUGGAUGGGAGACCAGAUGCUCCUGGAAGUGGUGUUGG